rnacentral:rRNA from 1 species
CACGUAGGGUGCGAGCGUUGUCCGGAAUUAUUGGGCGUAAAGAGCUCGUAGGCGGUGUGUCGCGUCGGCCGUGAAAACCUGCAGCUCAACCUUGGACCUGCAUUCGAUACGGGCAGGCUAGAGUUCGGUAGGGGAGACUGGAAUUCCUGGUGUAGCGGUGAAAUGCGCAGAUAUCAGGAGGAACACCGGUGGCGAAGGCAGAUCUCUGGGCCGUAACUGACGCUGAGGAGCGAAAGCAUGGGGAGCGAACAGG